CCUACGGGAGGCAGCAGUAGGGAAUUUUCCACAAUGGGCGAAAGCCUGAUGGAGCAAUACCGCGUGCAGGAUGGAGGCCUUCGGGUCGUAAACUGCUUUUAUGUGCGAAGAAUUUGACGGUAACACAUGAAUAAGGAUCGGCUAACUACGUGCCAGCAGCCGCGGUCAUACGUAGGAUCCAAGCGUUAUCCGGAAUUACUGGGCGUAAAGAGUUGCGUAGGUGGCAUUAUAAGUGGAGCGUGAAAGCGUGCGGCUCAACCGCAUUAUUGCGUUCCAAACUGUGAAGCUUGAGUAUGGGAGAGGUAGAUGGAAUUUCUAGUGUAGGAGUGAAAUCCGUAGAUAUUAGAAGGAACACCGAUGGCGUAGGCAGUCUACUGGCCCAUUACUGACACUAAGGCACGAAAGCGUGGGGAGCAAACGGGAUUAGAUACCCCGGUAGUCCACGCUGUAAACUAUGGAUGCUAGCUGUGACACACAUCGACCUGUGUCGUAGCGAAGUUAACGCGUUAAAGCAUCCGCCGUCGGGAGGUACGGUCGCGAGAUAAACGUACGAAGAAGUAGACGGCGUGAGACGUGCCGACGACGACGACGAGGGAGGUUAGG
rnacentral:rRNA from 1 species